AUCUAGAUGACGAAUCCCAAAUAGAACGGAAUGCGUAUCCUGGAU
rnacentral:hammerhead_ribozyme from 1 species